AACUAAGUUUGUUCUUGGUAUAAGCUUUCGUGUGCAUGCACACUUCUUCAGAUACACUGAAACAGAAGUACCUGAAGAAGUGUGCAUGCACACGAAAGCUUAUACCAAGAACAAAUUUAGUUGG
rnacentral:miRNA from 1 species